AGUAAAGGUGCGUUGAAGAGAAGUUUCCUUCAUUUGCAUCUGACACACUUCACUACUCCGCUAUUCAGACAGUACAAUCAUUUUAAUAACUGUCUGUCUUCCUCGGCCCCUCCUCUCGUCACCCUCGACUUCUGUUUCUACUGACAAGAACGCUGAUGUAUCUGCAGACUGAUUUGCAGCACUUUCACCACUUCUAUUUCCAACCCCGCUAUUCGAAAAGAUCCUGUUUGUGCAAGUUCUGACGACGAGCCUAUUUAAGACUUUACUUCAAGACUACUUUAGUUUUUGUGGAAUGUUUUGUAUUGAAAUAAAAGUACAACUUAAUGAAUCUAAAAUGCCGCAGACGCCAAUAAAUAAUUGUACUUAAAGGUGAACAGGUGAAAUAAAAAAUAAAAAUAAAAUUAAGUCGCGUUCUCGCAGUUGUGAACAAAGUGACAACUCGCCGUUUUACAUCACACAAACACCACUAAUAUGAAUUCAUCGCCUCCGUUAAGAGCAUUCUCCCUAUAAUUAAAAAAAAGGCCCGCGCACGUUUUGAGCACAGGUUCAACGUCUAUCAGGAACUUUUGGGGUUUUGCAACGCGUGACAAACGAGAAAGCACUUUAUUUCCUCAACAGUUUGACGGAGAACCGAGUUGGGUUUUUUGCUCUGGGCGUUGAUGAACAACUUUUCCACCUCGGUGUCAGCAGUGUGAAAACUUUCAUCAGUCCUGCCUACAUUUGUGCGUGUCUUUUUGCCCCUUCCCUCCACGCAGGCGUUUACUAUGAGCCCGUGGUCCGACGAGGCGAAUACAAAGCUUAACGGAUCCCGCUGUCCGCGGGCCUCGCAGACCUCUCUUAUCUCAGGAGAGGCUGCGUGCGCUGGAUUGCUGAGUCACCUUUCGUGGGAGGCUGGCCCUUAUCUCCCGAGAUGCACAACAUUCAGGCAGUUGGUUGCAAAAGGAGGAACUUUAGGCAGGAGCGCUGCGGCCUGCUGUGUCUUCACGGCAAUAGUAUGGAUUGCAACAACGCUCGCUGACUUCCCCAAAGCCUCGCGCCGCCUCAUCCGUAAGGUCAGGCCUGUGCUGUUUCAGACACGUGAAGGUCCGAAGGAGCCGCCGGAGAGCCGGGUCCUGAGGCCACACGCAGGGAAUGCUGGGAGCGGAGUGUUGCUCAUCACUAUCAGCGAGCACAGAGGUGUCUGAUCGUGACGGGGGUCUCCCAGGACCCAAAGAUACUGUCCUGUUCAAUGACACAGCAGCUUUCAGGGGCCUCAAACUACUAAAGAGAACGAAGGGAUGUCAAGUCAGUCACGAUUUUAGAGAAGUUCACACGGAGGAUAUUCAAUAUUCAAAAUUCAUGUAUAGCUGAGGUGGUUACAUGAUAGUUACUCUAAUGUGUGACUUCUGCAAAACGUGUAAAUUAUUAUUGAUCAUGUGAAAAAGCAGAUUGAAGCAUUUCAGAUCAUGUUAUAUUUGCAGGCUUUCAACCGUCCACGCGUCUGUGAGUCAAGUCCAACUUAACCCUCUGCUGCUUCAGGUUGAUCCACAACCCGAAUCGAGCCAUGUUGCUGUAAUUAAAAUUAUUACCUGGUAGGUCUCAAAACAUCAUCAGGCAGCGCAGCCGUCCGCCGCUGAACAAUGGGCCCCGGCUGGUUCUUAUUUCAUGGAUCUUUAAGCAGUAUUCACUGUUUCACAUUUGGAAGCAUGAGCAGCAUGUAACCCUUAAUUGGUUUCAACACCUUAAUAAGUCAAAGACGUUCAAGACUGAUAAUCACAUUAAAUAGUCCAAUUUAUCUAAAAAGUCAAUUGCAAACUGAAAAACUCUCUUUCUUUAGGAAUGCAUUAUGCUGUGAGGAUGUCAGAGUAAAUUAAAUUCCCCUCUGCACACUAAAGCAUCAAUUUCCUUAUGGUAAUUAUCUGCUGGAAUAGACGUGUCACUAGUAGGAGUCAGGCAUGCUUGACAUUUAGCCUUUUUAUGGAGCGGCGAUGAGUAAAAAUUAAGAUGAGGAGAGGGAAAUUAAUCUCCGGCCCAGGCAGGCAUCCACAGAUCCUGCAGGAUAGCGGCCCAAUCAACCAUGAUGUUUGUGAGCCUGUUUCCAAAAGGAACCACGUGAUGAGGUUCAGAGCAGAGGCUGGACGAUUUUUGGAGUUUCUAGCAAAUAUUGUUGUGAUUUCAAUGUGGAUGUUUAAGUUUAUUGGACUUAAGUUUUGGGGAAGUAGAGACGUCAGUGUUUACAUUUUAUUUAUUAUUUCAACUCUAAUUUAUUUCUAAUAUGAUAUGGGCCUAUGACACACUGUCAAUAUUAACUUUCAGUUCUAAAGUUUUUCUAUGUAUCAUUAAAGUGACAAUAAAUAUUGUAAACAUAUAAAUAAGUAAAUAGAAAUAUACAGUGACAGCAGAUCAAGGUGAAUUAUUUUCUACUCCAAAAAGUGAGCAGGUGGAUUUUACUGUUCUGGUUUUAAAGAACAGAAAUGGUUGUGUCUUAAAUCCGACGUCCUGUAUCGUUCUGUGUGUUUGAUGCUCACAGUAGCAGGCAGCGGCAGAGCUGUUAGCUGAUAUGAAGCCAAAAGGAAGAGUGCUUCCUCUAGAUUCACUGGAUUCAGGGUGAUGCAGAGGAAAGGACAAAUCUGUAAUUGUUAAGGGGAAAUCACAAGCGUUCUGGUCAUGAAGCUCAGUUUGCUGCUUGUUUUUUCCUGCAUUUGGCAGCUGUGUGUUACUGUGUUGAUUAAGAUCUUACUGGAAUGUCAAACCUUUUAGCCAAUAUUAGUAAUAUUAACAUGAAUGUUAACUGUCCAGUGUUGUGAUGGCAAACACCUCCAUGGUUCCAACAACCCACAGAAUUAAUGAGGUAUGAGUGUUUUCUAUGUAUUAAUGCUGGACGUAAAGGUUUACAGUAGUUUUAUGAUUCUAACAUGUGCACAGUAUUUUGUGCAAUUUUGCAUAAACUGAUGACGGGAGGGGGGAAAUUUACAGAAUUCUCUUCUAUAAAUUUGAAAAUUCCUUGUAAAAUCCAUGAGCCUCUCAUCUUUACAUAGUUAUCCAUUAAAACGUUCAUCUGUAAUAAGAAAAA